UGCUGCGUUUAAACAAUGAUAAUGACAAGGCUAUCUAGUUCAGAUAAUCCUUUGGGUUUGUCCAACGAAAGGACUAAGUACUCAUAUUUGUGCUUAAAGUACAAGCAUGUAUUUAUGCACAUACAUGUUAUGCAAAAAUGCACAUGAAACAAAAGAUGCUUUCUUACUUUUACAGUUUGCAUUUUUGUUUUCUACUUAAAAGAAAAAAAUGUGUGUAUAAACAUUGCAAAUGCUCUCGCAAAUAGUACAAAUAUGAGAUGCAUGACUAUGACAUGGUGUGAAGUUUUGUUCAAAAAUAAAAAAUAAAAAACAUUUCAAAAUCAUACUGAAAAUGUGUUUGGCUCAUGAAACAUUACCCUAAAGAAACUGCAGUUUUGAUUAUUUUUGGGAUAAUAGUGCGUUAUAACCAAUGUAAUAAAUGAAAGAGAUUUUCUCUCUCACAUAAGCUUUUGUCAUAGAUUACGACAUAUGAUUUCUCACAAGAAGUAAUCAAUAUACAUAUUGUACUCUCUGACACAUUAAAGACAAAAGUAAAAAAGAGAAGGGUAAAGGAACAGAAAUAUGGUUCAAGUAUAACUUUCUCAGUUAGGAAUAUGGUUGAGCACCUACAUGUAUCUCAAAAGUACAAGCACAUGCUAACACUUCUAAACAUUCAAUAUAAUAAAAUAUACUGAUAUGUAUAUUUUGAGGAAAAUGAAAAUAGAAACUUUUCAUAACCUUCACUUGCAAGUAAUACUUGAAUUUUUAUUUAUUAAAAAAAGGAAAAGGUACAAGUCAUAUUGCACAUGGCACAACCUCUUUUUGUGGAAAAGACACUCUUUUGACAGGAUGUGACAUUUUUUCUUGGAAACAUGUGAUGCCUCACUCUUACCAAUGUGGUAAAGUUUCCCUAUGAAAAGAAAGUUAGUUUGACUUUCUUAUGAAAAAAUAAUAAUAUUUUACUAGUACAAGGUCCUUCCACCUGGCCCUUCCACCCGGUCCUUCCUCAGGACCUUUCCCAGGUCCUUCCACAGGGUCCUUUCCCGGGUCCUUCCUCAGGCUCUUCUACCAAGGUCCUUCCCCAGAUCCUUCCUCAGGUCUUUUCACGGGGUCCCUUCCUCAGGCCCUUUUCUAGAACCUAACACAAAACACUCAUGCAAGGCCCUCCUUCGAAGCCUUGCGUCGUGUGCUACUUCUAGACACAAAUUUAUUGUUACCAUUACAACGUUGUUAGGGUACGUAGGCUACCCCCUUUAAUGAUAUGAUGGCAACACGUCUUCACAAAAUAAAACAUGAGGCACAAAUGCUUGUACACACAACAUAACAUGUUUAACACAUAAAGUAAUUGAUCUUUGGUAUGACUUACCUUUUUGAAAGUGUUUUCGUGGCAAGUAUCGAAGAAUGAACAUGAAUAACACAAGUAGCUGUUAGCCACGACCUACGGGACAGGUCGACAAAGGCUAGCAUUGGACUGAAUGACCCGAGAAACAGGGCAUGAUCUUUGAAAAGAUACUAAAGAAUAGUGGUCACCAUAAAUAUCCUUAAACAUGGAUAUAGCUUCGGUUAGGAAUAAAGUAACACAACAUUGGUGAAAGCAAGAAAUACCUUUACGCAACAUUGAACGGUGGGACUAACAUGCCUAGGUGGAUAUUGUUGGACAGAGUUUUUGCUAACCUCGGGCUACUUUCAUUCAACAAAGAAUCAUAUGCUAAUCUGCCGGAUACAUCUAUCAGCUAUAUCCUUGUGUGCUAUCGUGUCUCGGAUAAAGACAUCACUCAUUAGAAGUGAUUAUGAUUUAGAAGACUUUCGAUACUCAUCAAAAGUAACUAUAUUCUUUAUUCACAACCGAUGGUCUAGACAGACGGGCUCAAGGACAGCCUAUUUUAUAAGUUCAGUAUUACCAACUACGCUUGACA
rnacentral:lncRNA from 1 species